rnacentral:rRNA from 1 species
GACGAACGCUGGCGGCGUGCCUAAUACAUGCAAGUUGAGCGCUGAAGGUUGGUACUUGUACCUACUGGAUGAGCAGCGAACGGGUGAGUAACGCGUGGGGAAUCUGCCUUUGAGCGGGGGACAACAUUUGGAAACGAAUGCUAAUACCGCAUAAAAACUUUAAACACAAGUUUUAAGUUUGAAAGAUGCAAUUGCAUCACUCAAUGAUGGUACCGCGUUGUAUUAGCUAGUUGGUGAGGUAAAGGGUCACCAAGGCGAUGAUACAUAGCCGACCUGAGAGGGGGAUCGGCCACAAUGGGACUGAGACACGGCCCAAACUCCUACGGGAAGCAGCAGUAGGGAAUCUUCGGCAAUGGACGAAAGGCUGACCGAGCAACGCCGCGGGAGGGAAGAAGGUUUUCGGAUCGUAAAACUCUGUUGGUAGGGAAGAACGUUGGUGGGAGUGGAAAGCGCAUCAAGUGACGGUAACUACCCAGAAAGGGACGGCUAACUACGUG